UACGUAGGGGGGCAAGCGUUGUCCGGAAUCAUUGGGCGUAAAGCGCGUGUAGGCGGCCAGGUAAGUCCGUUCUGAAAGCCCGGGGCUCAACCCCCGGGAGGCGGAUGGAUACUGCUUGGCUCGAGUCCGGAAGAGGCGAGUGGAAUUCCCGGUGUAGCGGUGAAAUGCGCAGAUAUCGGGAGGAACACCAAUGGCGAAGGCAGCUCGCUGGGACGGUACUGACGCUGAGACGCGAAAGCGUGGGGGAGCAAACAGG
rnacentral:rRNA from 1 species